UCAGAUUAUUGUCCUUGGUGAGUCGGAUGUCAAGGAAACGUUCGUAGUUACCCAGGUCCAGGUCCAC
ensembl:miRNA MIR9829 microRNA mir-9829